CCACCAUAAUAAUGCAUCCACCCAAGAUUUAUGUCAAUAUUUGCAAAUAUGUUCUACUUUUCCAUACAUUUCCCAUGUGAAUCACAUAGGAUGUACUUAAGCCUUGUUUUUUUUCUUAAUACAUUAAUUUAAUACAUUUGCUGUUUUGUAUUCUUUGCUAGAUAGAUGUGCACAGAUCCUUACAAUCCUAUCCUGGUACUCAUGGAAUUUUCUUCAAUCUAACAUCAAAUGUCUCCAGUAGACACAAACCUUGUAAUGCAAGAAAAUUAGUGGAUGACCCUGGAUGCCUUUAUAAUUGACAUUUACGGAGGAAAGAUUUUCCGAAGGAGGAACAGACUGUGAUUGAAGGUUAAAUGAACAAAUAAUACUGUAUAUUCACAUUUUUGGACAGUGUGGAAAUUGUGUAAGCAUUGUCAGUGAUUAACGAUAUAGUUGCAUAGAGUUACUUUUCCUUUGUACUUAUAAGUAGCGAAAAACCCAAAGAAACUUUACUGCUUGACCUGUUUUAUCAUUCAACCAAUAUUGUGAAUAUUCUACAUUUUGAUAGGG
rnacentral:lncRNA from 1 species